rnacentral:tRNA from 1 species
ACCCGCGUAGUAUAGGCCGGAUAGAACGGCCGCCACACGAGCGGGGGCAGACCCAGGUUCAAAUCCUGGCGCGGGUA